GACGAACGCUGGCGGCGUGCCUAAUACAUGCAAGUUGAGCGCUGAAGGUUGGUACUUGUACCAACUGGAUGAGCAGCGCACGGGUGAGUAACGCGUGGGGAAUCUGCCUUUGAGCGGGGGACAACAUUUGGAAACGAAUGCUAAUACCGCAUAAAAACUUUAAACACAAGUUUUAAGGUUGAAAGAUGCAAUUGCAUCACUCAAAGAUGAUCCCGCGUUGUAUUAGCUAGUUGGUGAGGUAAAGGCUCACCAAGGCGAUGAUACAUAGCCGACCUGAGAGGGUGAGCGGCCACACUGGGACUGAGACACGGCCCAAACUCCUACGGGAGGCAGCAGUAGGGAAUCGUCGGCAAUGGACGAAAGUCUGACCGAGCAACGCCGCGUGAGUGAAGAAGGUUUUCGGAUCGUAAAACUCUGUUGGUAGGGAAGAACGUUGGUGAGAGUGGAAAGCUCAUCAAGUGACGGUAACUACCCAGAAAGGGACGGCUAACUACGUG
rnacentral:rRNA from 1 species